UACGGAGGGUGCUAGCGUUGUUCGGAAUUACUGGGCGUAAAGCGCAUGUAGGCGGCUUUGUAAGUUAGAGGUGAAAGCCCGGGGCUCAACUCCGGAACUGCCUUUAAGACUGCAUCGCUUGAAUCCGGGAGAGGUGAGUGGAAUUCCGAGUGUAGAGGUGAAAUUCGUAGAUAUUCGGAAGAACACCAGUGGCGAAGGCGGCUCACUGGACCGGUAUUGACGCUGAGGUGCGAAAGCGUGGGGAGCAAACAGG
rnacentral:rRNA from 1 species